CUGGCUCAGAACGAACGCUGGCGGCAUGGAUUAGGCAUGCAAGUCGAACGGUGUAGCAAUACACAGUGGCGGAAGGGUGAGGAACACGUGAAUAAUCUGACCCUCAAAGUUGGGAAUAACUUUCCGAAAGGAAAGCUAAUACCGAAUGUGGUGUUUUAUCGCAUGAUAGGACAACUAAAGAUUUAUCGCUUGAGGAUGAGUUCGCGUCCCAUUAGCUAGUUGGCGGGGUAACGGCCCACCAAGGCAGAGAUGGGUAGCUGGUCUGAGAGGAUGAUCAGCCACACUGGGACUGAGACACUGCCCAGACUCCUACGGGAGGCUGCAGUCGAGAAUCUUUUGCAAUGCGCGAAAGCGUGACAAAAAGCAAUGCCGCGUGCCGGAUGAAGGUCUUCGGAUUGUAAACGGCUGUCACUCGGGACGAAAAAUGACGGUACCGAGGGAGGAAGCCACGGCUAACUACGUGCCAGCAGCAGC
rnacentral:rRNA from 1 species